CGAGGGAUGCCAAUUGGUGGGAAGCAUUUAAACUGGCAGGAAGAGCAGGUGGCUGAGUGCAGCAAGCAGUGUACACACGGAUCACAGGUUACAUCUGGGAUUUCGUGAUGAAUGCCUAAUGAGCACGUCGAUUAGACUGGCAGAACUCUUCAAGCCAUUGUAAAUGUAGCUGAAAGAAGCGGGGCUGAUAAGACACUGAAUAACCACUCUCGUAAAGCUUUCCUUUGGCACUGCAAUAUUUAAAGUCCAGAAAGAUAAUGGAGAGAAAGCUGGACAAUAAAAUGAAAAGGGAACUGUCCUGCUUAGCUACUUUGAACAACAAAAACAUAACCCUGGUGUCUAUUCGGAAGCGGCAGGCAGCUCAUGAUGUGCCUGAACUACUGAUUAUUGGUGAAAAGUCCAAGACAGGAUCUCCGAUAAAAGCAAGCAGUAACUUGCAGAAAGAAGAGAAAGUUUUGCAGAGUUACUCCAUGGGAAUGCCAGAAGUCAAUGCAGUUGAAAGACAGGCUUUGUCCACCACUGAUUCUCCCCCUGGCUGUGAGCUGGAGCCUACAAUGAAACACAAUUUUGCUUUUGACAACAUGGGCUAUGAGGACAGCUUUGAAACUGGGCCCUCUUCCUCUUCCCUAGAACACACUGUAGCAGUCAAUGUUGUGGGAAUGACUUGCCAAUCAUGUGUGCAGUCUAUAGAAGGCCGAAUUUCCAAGGUGAAGGGCAUUGUGAGUAUUAAAGUCUCCCUUGAACAGAACAAUGCUGUAAUAAAGUAUCUGCAGUCAGACAUAAGUCCUGAGCAGAUUUGCAAAGAAAUUCAGGAUAUGGGCUUUGAUGCCAACAUAGCAGAAGAGUGGUCGAAAACAGCAACUGUAAAUUUGUCAUGCUUGAAAGAAGCAGUAGUUAAGCUUCGGGUAGAAGGCAUGACAUGUCAGUCCUGUGCCACCAACAUUGAAGGAAAGAUUAGGAAGCUGCACGGUGUGGCAAAAAUCAAGGUGUCACUUGGUAACCAGGAAGCUAUUAUUGCGUACUAUCCUUACAUUAUUCAGCCUGACGACCUCAAGAGCCAUAUAAGUAACCUGGGGUAUGACUGCACCAUCAAAAGUAAAUCAGCCCCUUUGAAGCUGGGUGUCCUCGAUCUUGAGCGCUUGCAGAAUGCAAACCCCAAGGAGACACCAGCAAGUCUUGAGAGCAAUGGAGUAGACCUGCGGUUCAUCAAGAUGAGUAGCACAGCUACGGUGGCUCUACAGGUAGAAGGCAUGCACUGCAACUCCUGUGUCAGAAACAUCGAAGGAAACAUAUCUAAUCUUCCUGGCAUACGAAGUAUUAAAGUGUCAUUGGAGCAUAAAUGUGCUGUGGUACAGUAUAGCCCAAAUUUAAUUACCCUGCCAGCUUUGCAGCAAGCUAUUGAAUCGCUUCCACCUGGAAACUUUAAAGUAUGCCUCCUUAAUGGUUCAGAAACAAACAAAGGAGCACCUCCAUCACCUGCUUCCCAACGCGACCUUUUCAUAGAGCCGCUGCAGGACACGAUGUGCACGGCUGUCAUUAGGAUUGAUGGCAUGACCUGUAAUUCUUGCGUACAGUCCAUAGAAGGGACCAUAUCACAGAGACAAGGAGUGCAACGUAUAGCAGUUUCUUUAGCCGGCAGAACUGGGACCAUACAUUAUGAUCCAUCUGUCACUAACGGAGAAGUGUUAAGAGUUGCCAUAGAAGACAUGGGGUUUGAUGCUUCUGUACUGACAGUGUAUUGUGCAUUUAUUCAAGAUACUGCCACUGGAGAACAUAAGCAGCAGCCUGACACCAGCAAAGCUGCUGUGCAGCCUCAAGCUCCAGAUCCUCCUCUCCAAGGCUGUUCCUCGGAUGCUGCUCCAGACAGACCACAUCCUGAUGGGCCAAACCAGCCCAGUGGAGUCACAGCUGGGAAGUGUUUUUUACAAAUCACGGGCAUGACCUGUGCAUCCUGUGUGUCUACCAUUGAGAGGAAUUUACAGAAACAAGAUGGGAUUAUUUCAGUGUUGGUAGCACUGAUGGCAGGUAAAGCAGAGGUAAAAUACAAGCCAGAACUCAUACAGCCUCUUGAAAUAGCACAGCUGAUCCAGAAUUUGGGUUUUGGUGCUACUGUCAUAGAAGAUCAUGCAGAAACAGAAGGGAAUGUGGAACUUCUAAUUACAGGGAUGACUUGUGCUUCUUGUGUUCACAAUAUUGAAUCCAAACUCAUGAGAACUAAUGGCAUAUUAUACGCCUCAGUUGCACUUGCCACAUGCAAAGCUCACAUCCAAUUUGAUCCUGAGAUUACUGGACCUCGAGAUAUUAUAAAAAUAAUUGAGGAAAUUGGCUUUCAUGCUUCUGUGGCUAGAAGAGUUCCAAAUGCACAUAACCUAGAUCAUAAAAAGGAAAUUCAGCAGUGGAGGAAAUCUUUCUUGUGCAGCCUGCUGUUUGGUAUCCCUGUCUUAAUCCUAAUGAUUUAUAUGCUAAUACCCCAUGGUGAGCACCAUGGGUCUAUGGUGCUGGAACAGAACAUCAUUCCUGGAUUAUCUGUUUUAAAUCUUCUCUUCUUUGUCCUGUGCACUUUUGUUCAGUUUCUUGGUGGGUGGUAUUUUUACGUACAAGCUUACAAGUCACUGAAGCACAAGAUGGCCAAUAUGGAUGUGCUCAUCGUACUAGCCACAACGAUUGCCUAUGUGUAUUCCUGUGUUAUCCUCAUGGUAGCAAUAGUUGAAAAGGCAGAGAAAAGCCCCAUCACUUUCUUUGACACUCCUCCGAUGCUGUUCGUAUUCAUUGCUCUUGGGAGAUGGCUGGAACACAUAGCAAAGAGUAGGACCUCAGAAGCUCUUGCUAAACUUAUAUCUCUUCAAGCCACAGAAGCCACUGUGGUGACUCUUGGACCUGACCACUCUAUCAUCAGGGAGGAGCAGGUAGCUGUUGAGCUGGUUCAAAGGGGUGAUAUCGUAAAGGUUGUUCCUGGUGGAAAGUUCCCAGUGGAUGGAAAGGUCAUUGAAGGCACUUCUAUGGCAGAUGAGUCUCUCAUUACUGGGGAAGCUAUGCCAGUCACUAAAAAGCCUGGGAGCACAGUGAUUGCUGGUUCUAUAAAUGCACAUGGCUCAGUUCUUGUUAAUGCAACUCAUGUUGGUAAUGAUACCACUCUGGCACAGAUUGUGAAAUUAGUGGAAGAAGCUCAAAUGUCAAAGGCACCCAUCCAGCAACUGGCAGACAAGUUUAGUGGAUAUUUUGUACCGUUUAUCAUCAUCAUUUCAACAGUGACAUUGAUAGUAUGGGUCACAAUUGGGUUUAUAAAUUUUGAAGUUAUUCAAAAAUAUUUUCCUAAUCAGAACAAAGACGUUUCAAAAGCUGAACUAAUACUGAGGUUUGCGUUUCAAACCUCAAUCACUGUGCUGAGCAUUGCAUGCCCAUGUUCUUUAGGCUUGGCUACCCCCACAGCUGUGAUGGUGGGCACAGGUGUUGCUGCACAGAAUGGUAUCCUCAUCAAAGGUGGAAAACCCCUGGAAAUGGCACACAAGAUCAAGACUAUAAUGUUUGAUAAAACUGGGACCAUCACCUGUGGAGUUCCUAAAGUCAUGAGGGUACUUUUGCUGGGAGACACAGCUGUGCUCUCUCUGAAGAAGGUACUGGCAGUGGUAGGCACUGCAGAAGCCAGCAGUGAGCAUCCUCUAGGAGUGGCAGUUACUAAAUAUUGCAAAGAGGAGCUUGGUACUCAGAGCUUGGGAUACUGCACCGACUUCCAGGCAGUCCCAGGCUGUGGCAUCAGCUGCAAGGUCGGAGGUGUUGAGGCUGUCCUGGAUAUGGCCGAGGAGGGUCUCGAUAAGCUGGACACUAACAGGAGUGGGGACAGCAGUGCUCCUCUGGGAGACAACAUGCUGGUCAUGCUCUCAGAAUCACAUGGUCCAUCAGCUUCUCACAUGUACUCGGUGUUGAUUGGAAAUCGUGAGUGGAUGCGACGCAAUGGCUUGCAUAUUGCAAAUGACAUAAAUGAUGCAAUGACAGAUCAUGAAACAAAAGGACAGACUGCCAUACUAGUGGCUAUAGAUGGCAUGCUCUGUGGAAUGAUUGCAAUAGCAGACACUGUCAAGCAGGAGGCAGCACUUGCUGUGCACACACUGAAAAACAUGGGCAUAGAUGUGGUGCUGAUAACGGGGGACAACAGAAAAACUGCAAAAGCCAUUGCUACUCAGGUUGGGAUCAAAAAAGUCUUUGCUGAGGUUCUUCCUUCUCACAAGGUUGCAAAGGUCCAGGAGCUCCAAAAUGGGAGGGUGAAGGUUGCAAUGGUUGGUGAUGGAGUCAAUGAUUCUCCUGCACUAGCCAGGGCCGAUGUUGGAAUUGCAAUUGGAACAGGCACUGAUGUUGCGAUUGAAGCAGCCGAUGUUGUUCUUAUCCGAAAUGACUUGCUGGAUGUAGUUGCCAGUAUUCACUUAUCAAAGAGAACAGUUCGGAGAAUACGAAUAAAUCUGGUUCUUGCCUUAAUUUAUAAUCUGCUUGGAAUACCCAUAGCAGCAGGUGUGUUCAUGCCUAUUGGCCUUGUGCUUCAGCCUUGGAUGGGAUCAGCUGCAAUGGCAGCUUCUUCUGUGUCUGUCGUGCUGUCUUCCCUGCAGCUGAAAUGGCAAGUUCUCUUAUAUUCAUCAACUGGGGAACCAUAGGCAGCACUGCUGCCGAGCCUCAAGUGAAAUAUUACUUUGGGCUUUGUCUGAAUAGAAUUAUAAGAAGCCAGACACAGAAAGUUACGAAGCACAAGCUCAAGGCCACAUGAAGCCACUUACUCCUUCCCAAAUCAGUGUUCAUAUUGGAAUGGAUGAUAGGAGGAGGGAUUCAUCCAGAGCAGCUCCUUGGGAUCAGAUUAGCCAAGUAUCUCUCUCUUCCUUGACGGCAGACAAGCUGCCGAAACAUAAUGGGUUUGUUGAGGAAGAAGGGGACAAGUGGUCAUUGCUCAUUAAUGGAAGAGAUGAAGAACAGUACAUCUGAAGCACUGUAUUCUUAGUACAGGAGGAAAUAUUCCUCCCCACUAGUGACGGCAGGGACUGACUUAUUUCACCAAGAGCUUCAAGACUUCAAAUAAAGUCAUUCCUUCAGCUCAUAAAACAAUUGCUACUCA